UUUUCUUUUUAAAAUGUUUUAUUAUCUAUAUUUUCAAAAUGUUCUUUCUAAUCUAUUAUUACCAUCUCAAUAAUAAAAGAAUAAAACAACCUUUUUGUUUUACUACUAGCUGCAUUUAUGUCACUCCCUGAUUAAUAUUUUAGUGGCAAAUUUACAAGUAUAAUAGUAAAUAAGAUUAAAAUUCAUAUAAUUUGUAUGUGAUGAUUUAUACCUUUAUUUCUAUUCCAAAACAAGGGUAUGUCAAGGUUUAUCUAAUAAAGCCAUUUUCUACUCAGUUAUACUAGUAAUGAAAUCUCAUUCAUCUCCAUCAUCGAGUGACAAGACCACAAAAAAUUCUGGUUUUAAAAUAGAGCCUUCUUACACAGCAAACGAUUUAUCUGGAGGUCAUCUCUUAUCUAGCAAUCUUAGCUAGUCAGAAUAUAGCCAAGUAACCUGACUUAAUCCACAAAGGCCUCUGAAUAGUGCAAAAAGAAAAAAGAAGAUAAAAUAUCUUGCACAGAAGAGAAUCACUUGAGCCUUACCGUCAGUCCAUUUUUCUUCACUUUACAUAGAAGGAAAGAAAUUUCAGUGUACAGAGCAAAACUAAGAAUAUUUGAGGAAUUCAUUAUUAUCUGGGAAGGUAUGUUUGGGUAAUGUCUCAGUUCCUCCAGUUCCUAAGGGCCGUUUGAGAUCUAUCAGCCAUCUUCAGAGUAAGAAUCCCUCACCUCCAAGGGACAAGAGCCAUCAUUGUCAUUGCGGGCAUGUUCUGGUGGGGAAGUCAACCGUAGUGUCUGAAAAACAGAAAGGUUGGACGGCAGCACAUGGCAGUCAGACCACCCUCCGAUACAAAGAGCCCAGGCUCUAGGGACCACCAAGCAUAACAGAAGAACAAGGAAAACAAAACCUUUAUCAUGUAUUCUGCAUGAAACUGAAAUGGAGAGUUCCCUGACCCUCCUCGCAGGACGUGCAACAGGGAUGUGGCUCGUCUGUUCAGUUGCCGUCACUGGUCAAACUCCUUACGGGAGAAGGAGCAUGCAGAUGGACAGGUGCAGGAGCUGGGGCACUGGGCUUCAGCCCCACAGCAGCAUCCAGACGUGGGAACCUGCAACUCCUGGAGCCCAAGUGGGUGUGUGUCACAUUAUGCUCUUUUAGCCUUGCCAUUGCAAACGGCUUAAGUGUUAACCAGCUCAGUGGACCCUCUGCCUUCUUGCAAGGGCAGGGGACCAGUGUGACAGCUUUCUGUAUCCCAAACUCUUGUCCAGCAUUGCAGAAGAAUCAGGUCACACAUGGACUUGAAGCACAGUGAAUCUGGGGGUUUUACUGGGUGGUGGAGGUGGCUCUCAGCAAGAUGGAUGGGGAGCUGGAAAGGGGAUAGAGUUGGAAGAUGAUCUUCCUGUGUAGUUUGGCCAUCCAGCAGCCAAUUCUCUGACCCUCCACAGCUGAACUUCUCCCAACGUUCCUUCUCUUCUCUCCCUCUCUGCUGCUCUUCUUCUCUUCUGUUUGUCUGCUCAUCUCCUCCUGGAACCAGGGGUUUGGGGUUUAUAUGGGUAAAGGAUAGUGGGGCGUUGGGCCAAAAGGCAACUUUUUGGGCACAAAAACAGGAAUGCCUGUUCUCAUUUAUGGUGGCGAGUAUCCAGGCUUAAGGGUGGGUCCUUUACUGGGGAACCGCCCUCUUCUACCCAGUAUUUCUGUCUCCUGUCCAUGUCAAAAUGAAGAUAACUCUAGGAAGCAUUUUGGGUUGUAACACAAUCACCAUGAAGGCUGACAGGAAAGAAGUAUCUUUCUAACUUCCUGUUCCAGUUAUCCUUUGCUCCAUAACAAAUCAUCCCAAAACUUAGUGACUUCGAACAACAAACCAUUUAUUUGUUCACAAUUCCGCAAUUUGGGCUGGGAUCUCCUGGGCAGUUUCUCUCCAUGUAGCUGCAGUCAGUGGAUGGGAGAGCUGGAGGGUGGCUGGGCCAGAGCAUCCUCACUCCCAUGUCCAGGACUUCAGCUGAGGUAGCUGAAAUGAGGUAGCUGUGCCUCUUUCCACGUGGCCUUUCAUCCUCAAAGAGGCAAGCCCAGGCUUGUUCACGAGGCAGUAGUGUCUCAAGAGAGUAGAAGCAAAGCUACAAGACCUUAUAAGGUAUAACCUCAGAGGUCACACACUGUCACUUCCACUGUAUUACAUUAGUCACAGCAAAUCACAAAGCAGCCUCAAUACAAGAGGUGUCGUAGUAGCCUCUGCUUUUGAUGGGAGGAGCAGGGAAGUUACAUGGGAAGGGAGCAUGGACACAGACAGAUGACUCCUUGGGGUCAUCACUGUAACAAUUGCAAAAAGAAAAAGCUAGGCUAGGUGCAGUGGCUCACGCCUGUAAUCCUAGCACUUUGGGAGGACAAGGCAGAAUAAUUGCUUGAGCCCAGGACUUUGAGACCAGCCUGGGCAAUGUAGUGAGAUCCCAUCUCUACAAAAAAUCAAAAAAAUUAGCCAGGCAUGGUGGUGCACACCUUGGUCCUAAGAGGCUGAGGCAGGAGGACGACUUGAGCUGGGAGGUCAAGGCUACAAUGAGUUGUCAUCUUGCCACUGCACUCCAUCCUGCGUGACAGAGCAAGACCCCGCAUAUGUAGUCGAGCUAUUAUCUCUGUCAGGGGCAUGUCACCAAAGGCCAGAUAAUGAGGGCCCACAUAUGCAGUUUGGGACUUUCAAAAGAGGUCCUGUCUGCAAGAGGAAUUGACA
rnacentral:lncRNA from 1 species